AACGGUAUGGCGGAAUUGGUAGACGCGUGGGGCUUAGAACCUCAUAGAUUUUCUGUAACGGUUCAACUCCGUUUACCG
rnacentral:tRNA from 1 species